rnacentral:rRNA from 1 species
CCCUAACCGUGCAAAGGUAGCAUAAUCAUUUGCCUUUUAAUUGAAGGCUUGUAUGAAUGGUUUGACGAGGGCUAAGCUGUCUCUUUUGAAAUAUUUAGAAAUUAACUUUUAGGUGAAGAGGCCUAAAUUUGGCUGAGGGACAAGAAGACCCUGUUGAGCUUUAGUUUUAUACUGAAUGGGUUAUUAUGAAUGAUAUUUGUAAUAAGCGUGGACCUAGGUGUAAUGGGAUUUCAGUAUGAAUCUUUAGUUGGGGCGACUGAGGAACAGUUAGAGCUUCCUUUGGUUCUGAAGGGCGAGUGUGUGCUCAAAAUGGUGUAUUCUUGCAGGUUGUUUUGAUCCAGUAAGAUACUGAUUAAAGGAAAAAGUUACCACAGGGAUAACAGCGUAAUCUUUCUGGAGAGAUCUUAUCGAAAGGAGGGUUUGCGACCUCGAUGUUGGACUAA